rnacentral:rRNA from 1 species
CAGUAGCCACGGUAAAACGAAGGGUGCAAGCGUUACUCGGAAUUACUGGGCGUAAAGCGUGCGUAGGUGGUGGUUUAAGUCCGUUGUGAAAGCCCUGGGCUCAACCUGGGAAUUGCAGUGGAUACUGGGUCACUAGAGUGUGGUAGAGGAUAGUGGAAUUUCCGGUGUAGCAGUGAAAUGCGUAGAGAUCGGAAGGAACAUCUGUGGCGAAGGCGACUAUCUGGGCCAACACUGACACUGAGGCACGAAAGCGUGGGGAGCAAACAGGAUUAGAUACCCGAGUAGUCCCUGUCUCUUAUAC